rnacentral:lncRNA from 1 species
UAUUUUUCAGCAUUGACAAUUGCAAAACCUUUUGUUUCAACUUUUCCCCUCCCUUCCUCCAAACCCUUCCCCCAGAUGGCAGGUUGACCAAUACAUGUUAAAUAUGUUAAAUACAAUACAUGUCCAUACAGUUAUUUUGCUGUACAAAAAGAAUAGGACUCUGAAAUAGUGUACAAUGAGCCUGUGAAGGAAAUAAAAAAUGCAGGCAGACGAAAAUAGAAGGAUUGGGAAUUCUAUGUAGUGGUUCAUAGUCAUCUAGAGUUCUUUUGCUGGGUGUACCUGAUUCAAUUCAUUACUGCUCUAUUGGAACUGAUUUGGUUCAUCUCAUUGUUGAAGAGGGCCACAUCCAUCAGAAUUGAUCAUCAUAUAGUAUUGUUGUUGAAGUAUAUAAUGAUCUCCUGGUCCUGCUCAUUUCACUCAGCAUAGGCUUUUCUUAAUUACUUAUUACUUCUCACUUAUUACUUCUAAGGUCAAGAUCAGAACCUUCUGGUUAGCAUUUAGAGCCCUUAAUUACCUGACCCUGAUUUACCUUUUCAAUCUUUUUAGAUUCAGGAAGACUACAGUUCAGGAAAACUCCAUUCCAGACAAACUGACCUCCUCACUGUUCUUUAGAAGGCAAAUUCCCAUCUCCAAUUUCUGGGACUUUACUCUGUGUCUAGAAUCUCUUUACUUCUCACCUUGUCUUGUAGAAUGCCUAGUGUUCUUCAAGGCUCAACUCAGUAUCAUCCUCUAUACGAAACUUGUACCAAUCUCAAUUGCUAGUGCCUUCCUCAUGCCAGUUACCUUUUAUUUACUGUCUAUAUAUUUAGAGACCUAGGUACAUGUUAUUAGCUUUCCCAUAUCCUCCACUAAAUUGUAAGCUUCUCAAGGAAAUUGUUUCACCUUUGUUUUCAUAGCCCUAGCACCUCGCACUGUGCCUGCAUAUAGUACAAAAACUAAAUCAGUACUGAUUGACUGACCUUAGUCAAUAAAAUGCUUUUCAGCUACUUUAAGUAUUUUACUAA